UCUCCCAUCCAAGUACUAACCAGGCCCAACCCUGCUUAGCUUACGAGAUCAGACGAGAUCAGGCACGUUCAGGGUGGUAUGGC
rnacentral:sRNA from 1 species